UUAAGUUCAGCGGGUAUCCCUACCUGAUCCGAGGUCAACCGGUAAAAUAUAGUUUUGACCAGCGCCGCCGGGCCUGUUGAGCUUAUAAGAAUUCCCGUACGCUCGGGCACCGGAACGGACGCCGCCACUGCCUUUCGGGCACGUCCACGGGGACGAGACCCAACACACAAGCCGCGCUUGAAGGUUGCAAUGACGCUCGG
rnacentral:misc_RNA from 1 species